AUUGAACGCUGGCGGCAUGCUUUACACAUGCAAGUCGAACGGUAACAGGUUAAGCUGACGAGUGGCGAACGGGUGAGUAAUGCAUCGGAACGUGCCCGAUCGUGGGGGAUAACGCAGCGAAAGCUGCGCUAAUACCGCAUACGAUCUGAGGAUGAAAGCGGGGGACCGUAAGGCCUCGCGCGAUCGGAGCGGCCGAUGUCAGAUGAGGUAGUUGGUGGGGUAAAGGCCCACCAAGCCGACGAUCUGUAGCUGGUUUGAGAGGACGACCAGCCACACUGGGACUGAGACACGGCCCAGACUCCUACGGGAGGCAGCAGUGGGGAAUUUUGGACAAUGGGCGAAAGCCUGAUCCAGCAAUGCCGCGUGCAGGAAGAAGGCCUUCGGGUUGUAAACUGCUUUUGUACGGAGCGAAAAGGUCCUUUCUAAUACAAGGGGCUCAUGACGGUACCGUAAGAAUAAGCACCGGCUAACUACGUGCCAGCCGCCGCCGUAACAC
rnacentral:rRNA from 1 species